AAGGUAUUAGUAUAACAGAAAGUACACUGCUUUGUCAAGGCAGACUUGUGGGUUAAAACCCCGCAUACCUUA
rnacentral:tRNA from 2 species